UGGAGUACGAUUCAAUCUAUUGCACGUAUCGUUUUCAUAAAUUUCAUUCAUAAUUAAAGUGGAACCAUAAAUCGAAGAAUAAAUAUUGAUUCGAACUGUUUUUAAAUAAAUGAAAAAGUUUGUACAAAGGAUAUGCGUUGGGCAACGUGCUACGAUGAGCUGAAUCCAACGUUCCAAAAUGUCGUCUAUUUGAUUAUAUGUAUUUUUAACGAGAGAAAUUGGUUUCCCUUCAACCUCUCCCGUGACUGAGAAUUAGUACAUUUCCUAACAUGUGCGCAAAGGCUUUCUUGACGAAAGAAGUUUACGUGCUGCGCAGUGUAUACGUCCAGCACUGCAACACGUCUUCUGACGCGACGUAUCAGAAAGAAGAAAGUAGGCACGGAAGGGCAGAGCUGUGAAAAGGCAGUAUUUAAUGCCGUCUUCCAAUGUCCUUUUCUCGAACGCACUUGAUUCCUUUCUUGGACAAUGCCGGUUUCCCGUUAAGUAACAGAGAAGUCGGCUUAAAUCAUCGAUGAAGCUGCGCGCAUCCAAGGUUUGCCAGCGUCCUCCGAAGCCAUUCAUAGUGACCGUAGAGUAGUAUUUAGCAACAAAAGGGUUUGCAGUGAUAACCCAGAGGCCUGGCCUAGGAAACAUACACAUCUUCAGGAAAAACUCGCUGUUAAAUGUUACUGAUUGUGAGUGCAGGAGUACAUUAAUCAAAAGCAAUGUUUGAAAUAAAAAAAUAAGAAAGUGAUCAGAACCUGGAGUCCAGUUCAAUGGAUUACAAUGCCAUUUUCUUCGAGUUUCAUAUAAAAAUUGAUUCUAAUGCAUGAAUGAAAAAUUGCUCGAACACAAUAUUUUCUACUCAGAAUAAAAUAAAAGAUUCAAAACUGUUAAACUUCGCGAUAAAGAGUCAUACAAUUAAAACUGCUCGGAUACUUUUGAAUUGUGACGUUCAAAUUAUAUUAAAUCAUCUGUAAAUGAUCUCAACCAAAGGACUCUUUGACUACCAAUGAUUGAUAUACUUUGAAACAUAAAAUUGAUUCAAAAGUCAUUAAUUCCGAAUUCGAACUUAUUCAAUAUUUAGUAUUCAAAGAUAUAAUUCUAGAUAUCGAAAUAUCGUAGGUCAAGUAGUUUAAGAAAAAAUGAAUGAAAUCAUGAAAAUGCUCAUUGGUUUAGGCUUAGACGUAAACAGUAAAGCCAAACGAAAUGAGAGGUCUUUAUACUAUUGUGUGAAACGAAGACCAAUGAAAGUUGUAAAGUUUCAAAAUACUUUGACCAAGUAUGGCAAUGAUGUUUAUUAGUUACAUAUUUUAUGGCGCAUUACAACGUUGUAGUGAAAAGAAGUGCAAAGGUCGCGAAAUUCGGUCGGAUAAUAAUGUCGAUAUCUCGUUUUAAGAUAUUUAGAAUAAUUUUGCAUUUCCACACGUGGCCGAUGAAAUUGAUGACCGAAUCAUAAGUAUGUUGAUUGUAAGAAAAGGUGCUGAGAUAUUAUAUACCGUGACAAGAGCUUAGUCGCAAGGUGUAACGCCAAAGCAAAGUUAUGAUUAGGCAUUUAGUCACUUCUGGACGUUAAUGACAUUGGCAGUUUGGGUAACGAAUUAUUCGCCAAAGAAUUGAUGAAAGGCAAAGCGACAACGGAAAGUUUCAUUAGCCAUUUAGUUAAGUUGAUGGCUAUAAACCUUCCAGUCUCGGCCACUUUUAAGCCAUUUGCCGACGUAGACAAGCCGCAAAUCAAGCAGAUGCAUCAAGACUGUCCUGGUGAUAUAAAUAGCUGUAUUGAGAAAAUCUGUGAUAAAUAACGACGAAGAAACAUCUCUGUAUAUGUUUAAAACAUAUGCAUCUAUAUAAACAAAUUUUAUAGCACAAACACAUUUGCAUUUAUUAACGAUCACCAGGCACGAAGUAAGAUUUAUCCGAUAUAAUUAUGGCUAUUUGUCGCGAGGCAAUGACGUACAUAAAAUUAUUCCUGUCUACGCCGCGGAAAUAGGCCUGGUAUAAUUUGAUUAAGAUUUAUUUGCCGAUGUUAUGCGUCGAUUGUAUUCUCGAUUAUUUGGAACUUGUCGAUUUAUGGAGGUUGAUUAAGAGUCAAGGUAAUAAGGAAGUGAAAAGCAAACAGUCGCUGAAAGCGAUGAAAUCAUCGGCAAAAAGACAUUGAAUGAAAAGACACGAAGAUUUUAUGAGAAUAAAUUUGUAAAUUGUCCGUAAUUUUAUUUUAUAUAUUCAUAAGGAUUUGUAAAAGAUUCUUUUCAAACUAAUGACAACAACUUGUGUGUGCGCGCGCGUGUGUGCGUGUGUGUGUGUAGUUGUUCAAAGUAAUAUUUUGAAAAAAUAUUAACACAUAAUUCAUGUAGAUGUCGUCUUUCAUCCUUCA